rnacentral:rRNA from 1 species
AGUGAACGCUGGCGGUAGGCCUAACACAUGCAAGUCGAACGGCAGCACAGUAAGAGCUUGCUCUUACGGGUGGCGAGUGGCGGACGGGUGAGGAAUACAUCGUAAUCUACUUUUUCGUGGGGGAUAACGUAGGGAAACUUACGCUAAUACCGCAUACGACCUACGGGUGAAAGCAGGGGAUCUUCGGACCUUGCGCGAUUGAAUGAGCCGAUGUCGGAUUAGCUAGUUGGCGGGGUAAAGGCCCACCAAGUCGACGAUCCGUAGCUGGUCUGAGAGGAUGGUCAGCCACACUGGAACUGAGACACGGUCCAGACUCCUACGGGAGGCAGCAGUGGGGAAUAUUGGACAAAGGGCGCAAGACUGAUCCAGCCAUACCGCGUGGGUGAAGAAGGCCUUCGGGUUGUAAGCCCUUUUGUUGGGAAAGAAAAGCAGCAGGUUAAUACCCCGCUGUUCUGACGGUACCCAAAGAAUAAGCACCGGCUAACUUCGUG